AGUGAACGCUGGCGGUAGGCCUAACACAUGCAAGUUGAACGGCAGCACAGUAAGAGCUUGCUCUUACGGGUGGCGAGUGGCGGACGGGUGAGGAAUACAUCGGAAUCUACUUUUUCGUGGGGGAUAACGUAGGGAAACUUACGCUAAUACCGCAUACGACCUACGGGUGAAAGCAGGGGAUCUUCGGACCUUGCGCGAUUGAAUGAGCCGAUGUCGGAUUAGCUAGUUGGCGGGGUAAAGGCCCACCAAGGCGACGAUCCGUAGCUGGUCUGAGAGGAUGAUCAGCCACACUGGAACUGAGACACGGUCCAGACUCCGACGGGAGGCAGCAGUGGGGAAUAUUGGACAGUGGGCGCAAGCCUGAUCCAGCCAUACCGCGUGGGUGAAGAAGGCCUGCGGGUUGUAAAGCCCUUUUGUUGGGAAAGAAAAGCAGCAGGUUAAUACCCCGCUGUUCGGACGGUACCCAAAGAAUAAGCACCGGCUAACUUCGU
rnacentral:rRNA from 1 species